AACGAACGCUGGCGGCAUGCCUAACACAUGCAAGUCGAACGAAGUCCUUCGGGGCUUAGUGGCGCACGGGUGCGUAACGCGUGGGAAUCUGCCCCUUGCUUCGGAAUAACAGUUAGAAAUGACUGCUAAUACCGGAUGAUGUCGAAAGACCAAAGAUUUAUCGGCAAGGGAUGAGCCCGCGUAGGAUUAGGUAGUUGGUGGGGUAAAGGCCUACCAAGCCGACGAUCCUUAACUGGUCUGAGAGGAUGAUCAGCCACACUGGGACUGAGACACGGCCCAGACUCCUACGGGAGGCAGCAGUGGGGAAUAUUGGACAAUGGGGGAAACCCUGAUCCAGCAAUGCCGCGUGAGUGAUGAAGGCCUUAGGGUUGUAAAGCUCUUUUACCCGGGAUGAUAAUGACAGUACCGGGAGAAUAAGCUCCGGCUAACUCCGUGCCAGCCGCCGCGGUAACAC
rnacentral:rRNA from 1 species